GUAUUCUGUAGCGGUUCCUUUGGGAACCGGUUCCUUUGGGCUGUUGCCAUUGGUCGGCGUUUCGUUGUCGUCAUCCCUGGUGGGCGGGACGACAAAUUUUGAUGACGUCACACAGGUUGCCAAUCUUCUGGAAAGGAACCGGUUCCCUGCUAGGAGAGGAACCGCGGAGAAGUGGUUCUCUCGAGGGUCGCGCGCGGGGGCGAGCAUGAUGUCGAGGGUUGCUAGGGCAACCGUGGCUGCCGGCUAAUCUCGCGCCAGCUGACGAGCCGGCACCUAGACGAGACGAGACAGAGACGGCAAUGGCGGCUCCUUUGGUUGUGUUGCUGGCGAGUGCCGAAAGACAACGACGCGACGAGAGGCAACGACGCGACGCGUUCGGCAUGGCCGAAGAAGAGUUUCGAACGCAUUUUAGGCUCUCCAAAGACAUAGUGUGACGUCUUUGCGAUGAGCUGGAAGGACAUCUCGGACCUCAAAGAUUUCGUGGUGUCGACACUACGAUGAAAGUGCUGUGCGCGCUGCGGUUUUUUGCCACCGGGAGCUUUCAACAGUGCGUCGGGAAUGAAGAAGCGAUUGCACUGUCGCAGCCUUCGGUCAGCCGGAUCAUUACAGCCGUCGCCAAGGCCAUUACGGUUGUGGGCAAAGAAAAAGGAUGGGUUAGAUUCCCAUCCACGGCGCAACAGAAAGCCGCCGUCAAGGAAGGCUUUCUUAGCCGUGGAAAAAUUCCAUGAGUUCUAGGAUGUGUGGACGGGAGUCUGAUAGCCAUCGUUCGCCCUAAGAAGCUCGGCCCCGGCGAAACGGAAUCGUACUUGAGCCGUAAAGGGUAUUACGCCCUCAACUGCAAGGUCGUGAGUAUUGUUCAUUGACAAAUAUUUUCGAUAUGUGAUUGCGCGAGUGCACGUUGUAAAAAACUUCGUUUCGUUAUUUUCCUAUUCGAGAAAGUAGCGUUUGUGUUGUAUGUGUAAUGACAACUUUGAUCUUGGCAAUAGAACCCGGCCGCACUUUUUCAGUGCUCUCUAAUCACAGUUGAAUAGCCUUUUCGAUGCUACAAUGUAAACACAUUACGCGCGACUUAAACCGGAAUAGACGCCGUAGCAGUGAAGGGAGUCUUCGUCUGCGAGCGAUCCUAACAGAAGACGAGCCCUUGUGAUUCUUAUUCGACGUAAAACUAAAGCAUUGUGGCCAACAGACUGUAAACGUGAAAAGGAGCAUCCCAUCAAUGAAAAUGGUGUGAGGGAGAAUGAGAAUGUGUGGACACCCAUUUGCUCUAGCUGUUGCUACGGCACAUGCUGCCACUUCCGCGUUCUUUCGCUUGUAAUAGGCACUUUGUCUGGAAAAACAAGAAAAAAACACAGGUGGCACUCUCUAGCAGAAUCUUGUACAAUAUGGACGGAAGAAACCAAAGGAAUUAUUUUGCACAUUGUGUUGUGACCGCACGCCAUACAUGAGCACAUGUACACAUGCCAACAUUGCAUUUGUAGGUUAAGAUGACAUUGUUAUCAUGCUGAUGAUUAGUUCAACUGCCUACUGCGUAUGUUGAUAUCUCCUUUUCUGUAAUUGUGUUGGCUGACUGAACAGUAACUGAUUGGCAAGUAGUGUUGUAAGCAAAAGUUUGUGCCAGAUAUUUGUUGCAGUGGCAUUGACACCUUCUCUUUGCUUUCCCUUACGAGGUGUGUGAUGCAAAGCUGAAUAUCCUGGCAAUUGACCCACGGUUUCCGGGAUCGUGCCACGAUUAUUUCGUUUGGAGGCAUUCUGCAUUUCGCCGCCGCCUCACUCGUGGCCUGUUACUUCAUGGAGAAGUCUUGCUUGGGGACUCUGGGUACCCGCUAGAGCCAUGGAUCAUGACUCCUGUGCCUGGUCACCCAAAUCGCCUCAUGGCAGAGGGGCGCUAUAAUGAGGCACACGCAUCAAUGCGAAAUGCCGUUGAGCGGUGCAUAGGAGUCGUCAGGAGCCGCUUCCGAUGCCUGCAGAGGUAUCGGGUGCUCCACUACUCGCCUCAGAAAGCAGCCACUAUUGUUGCAGCUUGUGCAGCACUGCAUAACCUCUGCCUUGCAGCAGGCGUGCCUCUGCCAGACGACCCAGGUGAUGACGGUGCACAUGACGACAGCGCACAGGAGCCAGCCCAGGCACAAGUGCCGCUUCAAGUACAGGUGCCACCGCAGGCGCACCCUGUACAGCCUUCUCGAGCUUUGUUUCAAAGAGGCCGUGCGGUGCGUGAAUCCAUAGUUGGUGUGUUUCGGCUGCCCAGAAAUUUUCGCAUUGCCUACCUGCAAAGUGUUCGCCGGCGCAUUCGCUGGCAAAUGAGGCGGAGACAUGUGCUGGUGUAACAUGUUUUAUUUUUAUUUUCAUGAAAGUAAAUAGGCCGUGCACUUCAACAUAACACAUUGCGUGUGCUCACAUGUGGCUAAUCAUAGUAUGCUGCAUACUGCAGUAGUGAAAAGCACAUGAUUUGUCUAUGUUGAGCAUGACAGAUACACAUGCAGUGACAAAUAACCAUGUGCCAUUAUGUUACUCCUUUGCUUUGUUCACUGUGCUUUUGAAUAUUGUCUCGCCAGGGAAUUUUCUUUAAAUAAAGGUUAUUUCCAAGGUGAAUGGCAA